rnacentral:rRNA from 1 species
AGAGUUUGAUCCUGGCUCAGAGCGAACGUUAGCGGCGCGCUUAAUACAUGCAAGUCGUACGAGAAAGGGGCCUUCGGGCUCCCGGAAAGUGGCGCACGGGUGCGUAACACGUGGGUAAUCUGCCCUCAGGCGAGGGAUAACUUCUCGAAAGGGAUGCUAAUACCGCAUAAGACCACGUCCGGUUCGCCGGACGAGGUAAAAGCUGGCCUCUGCUUGCAUGCUAGCACCUGAGGAUGAGCCUGCGGCCCAUCAGCUUGUUGGUAGGGUAACGGCCUACCAAGGUUAGGACGGGUAGCUGGUUUGAGAGGAUGAUCAGCCACACUGGCACUGAAACACGGGCCAGACUCCUACGGGAGGCAGCAGUAGGGAAUAUUGGACAAUGGGCGAAAGCCUGAUCCAGCGACGCCGCGUGGGUGAUGAAGGCCUUCGGGUUGUAAAGCCCUGUGGGGAGGAAAGAAAAAAGCGUGUUCAAAUAGGGCACGCUCUUGACGGUACCUCCUUAGCAAGCACCGGCUAACUCUGUGCCAGCAGCCGCGGUAACACAGAGGGUGCAAACGUUGCUCGGAAUUACUGGGCGUAAAGCGCGUGUAGGCGGA